rnacentral:rRNA from 1 species
UACAGAGGUCUCAAGCGUUGUUCGGAUUCAUUGGGCGUAAAGGGUGCGUAGGCGGCGCGGUAAGUCGGGUGUGAAAUCUUGGAGCUUAACUCCGAAACUGCAUUCGAUACUGCCGUGCUUGAGGACUGGAGAGGAGACUGGAAUUUACGGUGUAGCGGUGAAAUGCGUAGAGAUCAUGAGGAAGACCAGUGGCGAAGGCGAGUCUCUGGACAGUUCCUGACACUGAGACACGAAGGCCAGGGGAGCAAACGGG